AGAGCGAACGCUGGCGGCAGGCUUAACACAUGCAAGUCGAGCGGGCGUAGCAAUACGUCAGCGGCAGACGGGUGAGUAACGCGUGGGAACGUACCUUUUGGUUCGGAACAACCCAGGGAAACUUGGGCUAAUACCGGAUAAGCCCUUACGGGGAAAGAUUUAUCGCCGAAAGAUCGGCCCGCGUCUGAUUAGCUAGUUGGUGGGGUAAUGGCCCACCAAGGCGACGAUCAGUAGCUGGUCUGAGAGGAUGGUCAGCCACAUUGGGACUGAGACACGGCCCAAACUCCUACGGGAGGCAGCAGUGGGGAAUAUUGGACAAUGGGCGCAAGCCUGAUCCAGCCAUGCCGCGUGAGUGAUGAAGGCCCUAGGGUUGUAAAGCUCUUUUGUGCGGGAAGAUAAUGACGGUACCGCAAGAAUAAGCCCCGGCUAACUUCGCGCCAGCAGCCGC
rnacentral:rRNA from 1 species